CAAAAUGUAGUUUAAUUAAAACUCUAAUUUUGGAAAUUAGUAAUACUAUUAUUUAGUUGUUUUGA
rnacentral:tRNA from 2 species